AGUGAACGCUGGCGGUAGGCCUAACACAUGCAAGUCGAACGGCAGCACAGUAAGAGCUUGCUCUUACGGGUGGCGAGUGGCGGACGGGUGAGGAAUACAUCGGAAUCUACUUUUUCGUGGGGGAUAACGUAGGGAAACUUACGCUAAUACCGCAUACGACCUACGGGCGAAAGCAGGGGAUCUUCGGACCUUGCGCGAUUGAAUGAGCCGAUGUCGGAUUAGCUAGUUGGCGGGGUAAAGGCCCACCAAGGCGACGAUCCGUAGCUGGUCUGAGAGGAUGAUCAGCCACACUGGAACUGAGACACGGUCCAGACUCCUACGGGAGGCAGCAGUGGGGAAUAUUGGACAAUGGGCGCAAGCCUGAUCCAGCCAUACCGCGUGGGUGAAGAAGGCCUUCGGGUUGUAAAGCCCUUUUGUUGGGAAAGAAAAGCAGCAGGUUAAUACCCCGCUGUUCUGACGGUACCCAAAGAAUAAGCACCGGCUAACUUCGUGC
rnacentral:rRNA from 1 species